CGUGCUCCACUUAAUACCCGUACCAAAGUAAUGGUGGGUUCAGCUUCUCUUAUCUUAUUAGGUUCCACUUUAUUUGUUCAAAAUUUGUAUGAUGAUGAAGAGGUGACAAAACAAGAAACACUUUAAAAAAAAAAAAUAAACUAUUUGUAUUUAUCUACACAUUUCUC
rnacentral:ribozyme from 1 species